UUCAGCAAUUCUAACAACUUACAGUCCUCGCUGUCCCUUUGUGAACACAGAUGUCGUGCUGACGGGGGUAUGGCCAAAAUGACAAGAGGUGACCUGUCACUGAACUCGGGAGCAGAUGGUUAUAAUUCAACACAUGGUUUAAAUAGAGAGCCUGCCAUGGUGGAGCGGAGCCCGGAGCAGCAGCACGUGUUCCCAUUGGUUCGAGUCAGCGCACAAGUGCGGCUGCUGAGCAACGUGCACCUUCUCGAAACUCCAUCCUGUAUUUGAGAAACUUUCCCCUAGAAGCCAGUACACGUACAAG